rnacentral:tRNA from 1 species
GGAGGUAUAGCUUAAAGGGUAGAAUAUUUGUCUACCAAGUAUGAGGCCCUGAGUUCAAACCCCAGUACUGCCA